rnacentral:rRNA from 1 species
GAGACCUACGGGAGGCAGCAGUAGGGAAUCUUCCACAAUGGGCGAAAGCCUGAUGGAGCAACGCCGCGUGGGUGAAGAAGGUCUUCGGAUCGUAAAACCCUGUUGUUAGAGAAGAAAGUGCGUGAGAGUAACUGUUCACGUUUCGACGGUAUCUAACCAGAAAGCCACGGCUAACUACGUGCCAGCAGCCGCGGUAAUACGAAGGUGGCAAGCGUUAUCCGGAUUUAUUGGGCGUAAAGGGAACGCAGCCGGUCUUUUAAGUCUGAAGUUAUAGCCUUCGGCUUCACCGGAGUAGUGC